rnacentral:piRNA from 1 species
UUGCCGAAAACCUUCAGGAACUAGUUUCUU